rnacentral:rRNA from 1 species
UACGGAGGGUGCGAGCGUUGUCCGGAAUCACUGGGCGUAAAGGGCGCGUAGGCGGCUUCUCAAGCGUGUGGUGAAAGUCCGGGGCUCAACCCCGGAUCGGCCGUGCGGACUGGGGAGCUCGAGUUCUGUAGAGGCGGGUGGAAUUCCCGGUGUAGUGGUGAAAUGCGUAGAGAUCGGGAGGAACACCAGUGGCGAAGGCGGCCGGCUGGGGGUGACCUGACGCUGAGGCGCGAAAGCGUGGGGAGCGAACCGG